rnacentral:rRNA from 1 species
UGGCCAGACUCCUACGGGAGGCAGCAGUGGGGAAUAUUGCACAAUGGGGGGAACCCUGAUGCAGCAAUGCCGCGUGAAGGAUGAAGGUUUUCGGAUUGUAAACUUCUUUUGUACGGGACGAAGAAAGUGACGGUACCGUAAGAAUGAGCCACGGCUAACUACGUGCCAGCAGCCGCGGUAAUACGGAGGAUGCGAGCGUUAUCCGGAUUUAUUGGGUUUAAAGGGUGCGUAGGCGGUUCGUUAAGUCAGUGUGCAAUUGGGGGUCCUCAACCCCUUCCCGCCAUUGAAACUGGCGCUCUUGAGUGGAAGAGAAGUAUGCGGAAUGCGUGGUGUAGCGGUGAAAUGCAUAGAUAUCACGCAGAACCCCGAUUGCGAAGGCAGCAUGCCGGCUUCCGACUGACGCUGAAGCACGAAAGCGUGGGGAUCGAACAGGAUUAGAUACCCGCGUA